rnacentral:lncRNA from 1 species
ACUUUAGUCAUGAUUAAGUAUGAACCAAAAUAUGAAUUCAUGUACACAAAAUUCUUUGAUGAUCUCAGCUCUAAGGACCACUUGCACAACUCCUACUUAGAGAACUAUCUUUUGACAUGCAAGUAAGACUUCUAUAAGAUUUUCUCUUGAUAGAUCAAAUCAGUGUACUCAUACCUUAAUGAGCACCUACAUCUUUGUAUUAGUGUCCCUACAUAAGUGGGUGUGAGAUCAUCCACUUUUUUCAUCGAGCAUACAUAGGAUGUUCUAGUCUUUUCGGAUUCAUUGAUCUUCGACUCAAUGAUCCAACAACUAGGAUUAUUUUAGAUUAGGAUUUUAGAAUUUUAGAUCUCACUGACAUAAACCUUACAUGUCUAUAAAACUAUUGUCCUAAUUUAUGAAGUUUAUCAUAAUCUUAAAAGGUAUUAAGACACAGCAAAUGAAGAAUCAUAAAAAUAUCUUUUUAUUAUUAAUUAAUAAUAAAUAUUAUAUAUGAGUUGAGAGUAAUUACAGAAAAGAUCCUAUCUCAUAUCAAAUGCGAUUGGCUUAUGAGGCAUAAUUCUUUCAGACAAAAAGAGGGAGACAAGACUAAUUUAGCAUAUUAGAGCAUAAUACUUUGAAAAUAAACCGUGAAAUAUUAACAUCUAAACAGUGAACAUUAAAAAUUUCAAUAAGACUUUGAAAAUGAAUAAUGAAACAUUAACAUAUGAACAUUAUAAUCUAAAUAGUGAACAUUAAAAUUUAAUUUGAAAAUCACCUCAUAAGAAGCAUUAUUGAGGGGGA